rnacentral:rRNA from 1 species
AACGAACGCUGGCGGCGCGCCUAAUACAUGCAAGUCGAGCGAGAAGACGUAGCAAUACGUUUGUAAAGCGGCGAACGGGUGAGGAAUACAUGGGUAACCUACCCUCGAGUGGGGAAUAACUAGCCGAAAGGUUAGCUAAUACCGCGUACGCUCCUUGGACUUCGGUUCAGGGAGGAAAGCGAUACCGUGGGUAUCGCGCUCUCGGAUGGGCUCAUGUCCUAUCAGCUUGUUGGUGAGGUAACGGCUCACCAAGGCUUCGACGGGUAGCUGGUCUGAGAGGACGAUCAGCCACACUGGCACUGCGACACGGGCCAGACUCCUACGGGAGGCAGCAGUAAGGAAUAUUGCGCAAUGGGCGAAAGCCUGACGCAGCGACGCCGCGUGGGGGAUGAAGGUCUUCGGAUUGUAAACCCCUUUC